UACGUAGGGCGCAAGCGUUGGCCGGAAUUAUUGGGCGUAAAGAGCUCGUAGGCGGCCUGUCGCGUCUGCUGUGAAAUCCCGGGGCUUAACCCCGGGCGUGCAGUGGAUACGGGCUGGCUGGAGGCAGGCAGGGGAGAACGGAAUUCCCGGUGUAGCGGUGAAAUGCGCAGAUAUCGGGAGGAACACCGGUGGCGAAGGCGGUUCUCUGGGCCUGUUCUGACGCUGAGGAGCGAAAGCGUGGGGAGCGAACAGG
rnacentral:rRNA from 1 species